rnacentral:rRNA from 1 species
CAAUAGCGUAUAUUUAAGUUGUUGCAGUUAAAAAGCUCGUAGUUGGAUUUCGGGUGGGACGCAGCGGUCUCGCAUUGCGUUUGUACUGCUGCAGCCCUCCUUCUUGCCGGGGGCGGCCUCUCGGACUUCACUGUCUGGGGGUCAGAAUCGGCGAUGUUACUUUGAGUAAAUUAGAGUGUUCAAAGCAAGCUUACGCUCUGAAUAUAAUAGCAUGGGAUAACACGACAGGACUCUGGCCUAUCGUGUUGGUCUAUAGGACCAGAGUAAUGAUUAAGAGGGACAGUCGGGGGCACUCGUAUUCCGUUGUCAGAGGUGAAAUUCUUGGAUUUACGGAAGACGAACAUCUGCGAAAGCAUUUGCCAAGGAUGUUUUCAUUGA